AUAUAACAAACAUUCUGUUUCAUUACUGGAGGAUGAUGAAGACACCUUAUCAGCUGCCACAGAGAGGGAAGAUGCAGAGAGGCCUGUUGAAAGCAAUGCUGGAAAUUACAAUGAGGAAGAAGGUCCAUUAACCUCCACAGAACAGCUUACCUCAGUAAGAUGUUGUUCAGCAUUGACCCACAACUUACAAUGACGCUAAGUAGAUAUGGCAUUGGGAAAUUCAACGUCAUUUAUGUUCGUAUAGCUCCCUGUGAAACAACUCUAAGGUAUAUUUGCAAGCAAAAAUCAACAAAAUGCAUUUGGAAAUGGACCAUAUAAGGCUGCAGAUCACUAAAACAAAAAUGGAAAUACAAAUGCUGGACCAUCAGUUAAAGG